rnacentral:rRNA from 1 species
UAUAUUAAGGGUAUAUGGUGGAUGCCUAGACUUGAAAAGCCGAUGAAGGACGUAGC